GAUGAAGAACGCAGCGAAAUGCGAUACGUAAUGUGAAUUGCAGAAUUCAGUGAAUCAUCGAGUCUUUGAACGCACAUUGCGCCCCCUGGUAUUCCGGGGGGCAUGCCUGUACGAGCGUCAUUGCUGCCCUCAAGCACGGCUUGUGUGUUGGGCCUCCGUCCUCCUCCCGGGGGACGGGCCCGAAAGGCAGCGGCGGCACCGCGUCCGGUCCUCGAGCGUAUGGGGCUUCGUCACCCGCUCUUGUAGGCCCGGCCGGCGCUUGCCGACACAUCAAUCUUUUUUCCAGGUUGACCUCGGAUCAGGUAGGGAUACCCGCUGAACUUAAGCAUAUCAAUAAGCGGAGGA
rnacentral:misc_RNA from 1 species